rnacentral:rRNA from 1 species
AGGACGAACGCUGGCGGCGUGCCUAACACAUGCAAGUCGAACGGAACUCUUAGGAUCGAGACUUCGGUCAAGUGAAUCUGAGUUUAGUGGCGGACGGGUGAGUAACGCGUGAGGAACCUGCCUCGGAGUGGGGGACAACAGUUAGAAAUGACUGCUAAUACCGCAUAAUGUUCAAGAAGGGCAUCCUUUUUAAAACCAAAGCUUUAUGUGCUCUGAGAUGGCCUCGCGUCUGAUUAGAUAGUUGGUGAGGUAACGGCCCACCAAGUCUGCGAUCAGUAGCCGGACUGAGAGGUUGAACGGCCACAUUGGGACUGAGAUACGGCCCAGACUCCUACGGGAGGCAGCAGUGGGGAAUAUUGGGCAAAUGGGGGAAACCCUGACCCAGCAACGCCGCGUGAAGGAAGAAGGCCUUCGGGUUGUAAACUUCUUUUACCAGGGACGAAUAGAUGACGGUACCUGGAGAAAAAGCUACGGCUAACUACGUGCCAGCCGCCGC